rnacentral:rRNA from 1 species
UACGUAGGGUGCGAGCGUUAAUCGGAAUUACUGGGCGUAAAGCGUGCGCAGGCGGUUCGUUAAGUCAGGUGUGAAUGCCCCGGGCUCAACCUGGGAACUGCAUUUGAAACUGGCGGGCUUGAGUGUGGCAGAGGGGGGUGGAAUUCCGCGUGUAGCAGUGAAAUGCGUAGAGAUGCGGAGGAACACCGAUGGCGAAGGCAGGUCUCUGGGCCACUACUGACGCUGAGAAGCGAAAGCAUGGGGAGCGAACAGG